UUCAAUUGAUGUAAUAAAGGAGAGCAUGCACUUUUUAAAUUAUAUAAAGUGAUGAAAAUCAUAUUAUAUUUGUUAGAUACAGAGAGAGGGAGAAAUAUGACUCAAAUUAUCAACUUUAUUUAUGUGGUGAUUAUAUUAAUUUUUGUAUUUCUUAUUACAAUGAACGUUGAUGGAUAUGUAUUUUUUAAAUGUUUUCAAGAAUAUGAUUGUCCAAAAUAUAUGUGCCCGCCGCCUAUUAUAGCAAGUUGUGUUAACAGACGCAUUUGUGCAUGUAUUAAACCAUACUUUGAGGAUUGGCAAUGGGUUUAAUAAGAAGAAUCACAGUUUAAUCUUCGUAAUUACGAUUGAAAGAGGGUUGGAACAACUUGAUGGCAGACCCCGAAUUAGAUUAAGUAUCUAGUAAGUCAAAUACUGGUGAUAAAAAAAUGCACUUACUCUUUUAUUAUUUCCCAGUGCUUUGCAUGGAAUUGUUGUUGAACUAUAUAAAAUACAUUCAUAAUCUCUUUAGUUUCUCUGUGUAAUAAUUGACUAUGAAAAGUCAAGUGUCUUCCUUUACAAGAAAGUAAAAUCUCUCCGUUUUAUAA